rnacentral:miRNA from 1 species
AACCCGGCGGAUCAUUGAUACCUC